CUCUAGAGAAUUCAAAGGGAUUGGCUGGUUUCCCCGGAAGGACGUCGUCUGAUGGCCAAUCCUAGACGGGAGGUGGGAGGUCGA